CUACGGGGGGCUCCAGUGAGGAAUAUUGGACAAUGGGCGAAAGCCUGAUCCAGCGACGCCGCGUGGGUGAAGAAGGCCUUCGGGUUGUAAAGCCCUGUCAGAGGGGACGAAGUUCUGACGGUACCCUCAGAGGAAGCACAGGCUAACUCCGUGCCAGCAGCCGCGGUAAUACGGAGUGUGCGAGCGUUGCUCGGAAUCACUGGGCGUAAAGGGCACGUAGGCGGCCUCGUGUGUUGGGUGUGAAAGCCCACGGCUCAACCGUGGAACUGCACUCAAAACUGCGAGGCUAGAGUACGGAAGAGGAAGGCGGAAUUCCCAGUGUAGGGGUGAAAUCCGUAGAUAUUGGGAAGAACACCAGUGGCGAAGGCGGCCUUCUGGGACGAUACUGACGCUGAUGUGCGAAAGCGUGGGGAGCAAACAGGAUUAGAUACCCCUGUAGUC
rnacentral:rRNA from 1 species